rnacentral:rRNA from 1 species
UACGGAGGGAGCUAGCGUUGUUCGGAAUUACUGGGCGUAAAGCGCGCGUAGGCGGCUUUGUAAGUUAGAGGUGAAAGCCCGGAGCUCAACUCCGGAACUGCCUUUAAGACUGCAUCGCUUGAAUCCGGGAGAGGUGAGUGGAAUUCCGAGUGUAGAGGUGAAAUUCGGAGAUAUUCGGAAGAACACCAGUGGCGAAGGCGGCUCACUGGACCAUAACUGACGCUGAUGCGCGAAAGCUAGGGGAGCAAACAGG